rnacentral:rRNA from 1 species
AUUGAACGCUGGCGGCAGGCCUAACACAUGCAAGUCGAACGAGUGGCGGACGGGUGAGUAAUGUCUGGGAAACUGCCUGAUGGAGGGGGAUCACUUCUGGAAACGUUUGCUAAUACCGCAUCCCAUCAGAUGCGCCCGGUUGGGAUUAGCUGGUGGUUGGGGUAACGGCUCACCAAGGCGACGAUCCCUAGCUGGUCUGAGAGGAUGACCAGCCACACUGGGACUGAGACACGGUCCAGACUCCUACGGGUGGCAGCAGUGGGGAAUAUUGCACAAUGGGCGCAAGCCUGAUGCAGCCAUGCCGCGUGUAUGAAGAAGGCCUUCGGGUUGUAAAGUACUUUCAGCGGGGAGGCGUUACCCGCAGAAGAAGCACCGGCUAACUCCGUGCCAGCAGCCGCGGUAAUUC